UACAGAGGGGGCAAGCGUUAUUCGGAAUUAUUGGGCGUAAAGGGCGCGUAGGCGGUUUGUUAAGUCGGCUGUGAAAGCCUGGGGCUCAACCCCAGAGGGUCGGCCGAUACUGGCAAACUAGAGUACGGAAGAGGUAGCUGGAAUUCCCGGUGUAGCGGUGAAAUGCGCAGAUAUCAGGAGGAACACCGGUGGCGAAGGCGGGUCUCUGGGCCGUAACUGACGCUGAGGAGCGAAAGCAUGGGGAGCGAACAGG
rnacentral:rRNA from 1 species